GUGUGGAAUCUUGCGCAAUGGGCGAAAGCCUGACGCAGCCAUGCCGCGUGAAUGAUGAAGGUCUUAGGAUUGUAAAAUUCUUUCACCGGGGACGAUAAUGACGGUACCCGGAGAAGAAGCCCCGGCUAACUUCGUGCCAGCAGCCGCGGUAAUACGAAGGGGGCUAGCGUUGCUCGGAAUUACUGGGCGUAAAGGGCGCGUAGGCGGACAGUUUAGUCAGAGGUGAAAGCCCAGGGCUCAACCUUGGAAUUGCCUUUGAUACUGGCUGUCUUGAGUACGGGAGAGGUGAGUGGAACUCCGAGUGUAGAGGUGAAAUUCGUAGAUAUUCGGAAGAACACCAGUGGCGAAGGCGACUCACUGGCCCGUUACUGACGCUGAGGCGCGAAAGCGUGGGGAGCAAACAGGAUUAGAAACCCUGGUAGUCC
rnacentral:rRNA from 1 species